rnacentral:rRNA from 1 species
GCGCACGCUGGCGGCAGGCCUCACCCCUGCAAGUCGCACGCACCUUUCGGGGUUAGUGGCGGACGGGUGAGUAACACGUGGGAACGUGCCUUUAGGUUCGGAAUAACUCAGGGAAACUUGUGCUAAUACCGAAUGUGCCCUUCGGGGGAAAGAUUUAUCGCCUUUAGAGCGGCCCGCGUCUGAUUAGCUAGUUGGUUGAGGUAAUGGCUCACCAAGGCGACGAUCAGUAGCUGGUCUGAGAGGAUGAUCAGCCACAUUGGGACUGAGACACGGCCCAAACUCCUACGGGAGGCAGCAGUGGGGAAUCUUGCGCAAUGGGCGAAAGCCUGACGCAGCCAUGCCGCGUGAAUGAUGAAGGUCUUAGGAUUGUAAAAUUCUUUCACCGGGGACGAUAAUGACGGUACCCGGAGAAGAAGCCCCGGCUAACUUCGUG